rnacentral:rRNA from 1 species
ACGCUGGCGGCGUGCUUAACACAUGCAAGUCGAAUGAGAAUCUGUGGAAAGAGGAUUCGUCCAAUUGAAGCAGAGGACAGUGGCGGACGGGUGAGUAACGCGUGAGGAACCUGCCUUUCAGAGGGGGACAACAGUUGGAAACGACUGCUAAUACCGCAUAACAUAUAGAUGUCGCAUGGCAUUUAUAUCAAAGAUUUAUCGCUGAAAGAUGGCCUCGCGUCUGAUUAGCUAGUUGGUGAGGUUAACGGCCCACCAAGGCGACGAUCAGUAGCCGGACUGAGAGGUUGAACGGCCACAUUGGGACUGAGAUACGGCCCAGACUCCUACGGGAGGCAGCAGUGGGGAAUAUUGGGCCAAUGGGCGCAAGCCUGACCCAGCAACGCCGCGUGAAGGAAGAAGGCUUUCGGGUUGUAAACUUCUUUUGUCAGGGACGAGUAGAAGACGGUACCUGACGAAUAAGCCACGGCUAACUACGUG